rnacentral:rRNA from 1 species
ACGAAGGGGGCUAGCGUUGCUCGGAAUUACUGGGCGUAAAGCGCACGUAGGCGGAUGUUCAAGUCGAGGGUGAAAUCCCAGGGCUCAACCCUGGAACUGCCCUCGAUACUGGACGUCUCGAGUCCGGGAGAGGUGAGUGGAACUCCGAGUGUAGAGGUGAAAUUCGUAGAUAUUCGGAAGAACACCAGUGGCGAAGGCGGCUCACUGGCCCGGUACUGACGCUGAGGUGCGAAAGCGUGGGGAGCAAACAG